rnacentral:rRNA from 1 species
UACGUAGGUGGCAAGCGUUGUCCGGAUUUACUGGGCGUAAAGAGCGCGCAGGCGGUCGUUCAAGUCGCGUGUGAAAGCCCCCGGCUCAACUGGGGAGGGUCACGCGAUACUGAUCGACUCGAAGGCAGGAGAGGGUAGUGGAAUUCCCGGUGUAGUGGUGAAAUGCGUAGAUAUCGGGAAGAACACCCGUGGCGAAGGCGGUUCUCUGGGACGGUACUGACGCUGAGACACGAAAGCGUGGGGAGCAAACAGG